rnacentral:rRNA from 1 species
AUGGUGUGGGAGCCAUCCAAGGAUUUGAAGCACCUGAACUUGAAGGUGCUGGUGAUCUGCGGGUGCGAGGAUGAAGACAACGUGACAAACUAUGUAAGGCUUGUCAUGGAACGAGCUGUGGGGCUGUUGUUAAUCCAGCUGCGUGGUGAAUUCUCAUGCAUGGUCUGCAACGCCACCAACCUUGACAGAUCCAAGGCGGAGAAAGCUAGCAGGCACCGGAUUAAGGAGCGACUCACGCAUGGAUCAUCCUCAUCUGUGGAGAUAAUAAUCUGA